UACGUAGGGGGCAAGCGUUGUCCGGAAUCAUUGGGCGUAAAGAGCGUGUAGGUGGCUCGGUAAGUCCGCUGUAAAAGUCCAGGGCUCAACCCUGGAAAGCCGGUGGAAACUGUCGAGCUAGAGUCCGGAAGAGGCGAGUGGAAUUCCUGGUGUAGCGGUGAAAUGCGCAGAUAUCAGGAGGAACACCAAUGGCGAAGGCAGCUCGCUGGGACGGUACUGACACUGAGACGCGAAAGCGUGGGGAGCAAACGGG
rnacentral:rRNA from 1 species